rnacentral:rRNA from 1 species
AACGCGAAGAACCUUACCUGGCCUUGACAUGCCACUAACGAAGCAGAGAUGCAUUAGGUGCCCGUAAGGGAAAGUGGACACAGGUGCUGCAUGGCUGUCGUCAGCUCGUGUCGUGAGAUGUUGGGUUAAGUCCCGCAACGAGCGCAACCCUUGCCAUUAAUUGCCAUCAUUUAGUUGGGCACUUUAAUGGGACUGCCGGUGACAAACCGGAGGAAGGUGGGGAUGACGUCAAGUCCUCAUGGCCCUUAUGGCCAGGGCUUCACACGUAAUACAAUGGUCGGUACAGAGGGUUGCCAACCCGCGAGGGGGAGCCAAUCCCAGAAAGCCGAUCGUAGUCCGGAUUGCAGUCUGCAACUCGACUGCAUGAAGUCGGAAUCGCUAGUAAUCGCGGAUCAGCAUGUCGCGGUGAAUGCGUUCCCGGGUCUUGUACACACCG